GAUGAACGCUAGCUACAGGAUUAACACAUGCAAGUCGAGGGACCGGCGCACGGGUGAGUAACACGUAUCCAACCUGCCCUUUACUCGGGGAUAGCCUUUCGAAAGAAAGAUUAAUACCCGAUGUAAAGGAUGGGGAUGCGUUCCAUUAUGUUUUUGGUGAGGUAACGGAUCACCAAGCCUUCGUUGGAUAGGGGUUCUGAUAGGAAUGUCCCCCACAUUGGACCUGCGACCCGUUCCAAACUCCUACGGGAGGCAGCAGUUAGGAAUAUUGGUCAAUGGGCGUUAGCCUGACCCAGCCAAGUAGCGUGAAGGAUGAAGGCUUAUGGGUCGUAAACUUCUUUUAUAUAAGAAUAUGUAUUAUAUGAAUAAGGAUCGGCUAACUCCGUGCCAGCAGCCGCGGUAAUAC
rnacentral:rRNA from 1 species